rnacentral:pre_miRNA from 1 species
CAGAGAACAGCCCCCAGUGGCGGUCAGCUCUGCAGCCCUGGAGUCAGCCCCCGCAGUAACCCCGGAGCUCUCCGUCUGCAGGCCUGGAGGCUCCGGGGCGGG